rnacentral:rRNA from 1 species
CGGAAGGAUCAUUAGUGAUUUGGCCGAAAGGCCUCAUUUCGAUUCUCACAACACCUGUGAACUGUAGGGGCCUCCGGGCCUCCCAUUACAAACAUUAGUGUAACGAACGUCAAAUGUAUCUUAACAUAAAUAAAACUUUCAACAACGGAUCUCUUGGCUCUCGCAUCGAUGAAGAACGCAGCGAAACGCGAUAUGUAAUGUGAAUUGCAGAAUUCAGUGAAUCAUCGAAUCUUUGAACGCACCUUGCGCCUUUUGGUAUUCCGAAAGGCAUGCCUGUUUGAGUGUCAUGAAAUCUCAAUCCCCUCAGGUUUAUGAUCUGGGCCGGGACUUGGACUUGGGCGUCUUGCCAGCUUUGCCUGGCUCGCCUUAAUGGUGUCAGUGGGACUUUGCUUCCGAUCAUCAGACGUAAUAAGUUUCGUCUGUUUGGGAGGUGAGGGCUUGCUUACAACCCCCGUGCUUUGGCACAACUUUUUUCGAUCUGACCUCAAAUCAGGUAGGGCUACCCGCUGAACUUAAGCAUAUCAAUAAGCGGAGGAAAAGAAACUAACAAGGAUUCCCCUAGUAACGGCGAGUGAACAGGGAAGAGCUCAAAUUUGAAAUCUGGCGUGCUCAGUGCGUCCGAGUUGUAAUCUAUAGAGUCGUUUUCCGUGCCGGACCGUGUCCAAGUUCCUUGGAACAGGAUAUCAAAGAGGGUGACAAUCCCGUACUUGACACGACCACCGGUGCUCUGUGAUACGUCUUCUACGAGUCGAGUUGUUUGGGAAUGCAGCUCAAA